rnacentral:rRNA from 1 species
CCGUCGUGGGCGUAGGAAAUUUGAGAGGAGCUGUCCUUAGUACGAGAGGACCGGGAUGGACACACCGCUGGUGUACCAGUUGUCUUGCCAAAGGCAUCGCUGGGUAGCUAUGUGUGGACGGGAUAAGUGCUGAAAGCAUCUAAGCAUGAAGCCCCCCUCAAGAUGAGAUUUCCCAUAGCGCAAGCUAGUAAGAUCCCUGAAAGAUGAUCAGGUUGAUAGGUCAGAGGUGGAAGCGUGGCGACAUGUGUAGCUGACUGAUACUAAUCGAUCGAGGACUUAACCAAAA